GCAAGGGAAAUUAGGCAUUUAGACGUCCACAAUGAUGAAGUUAUGGCAAAAAAACAGGACAAAACAUAUUGUCGUAUUUGUUGACUCCGAACCCCACUGUAAACUGUAGCGGUUUAAUUUACAUCAAUGCAAAUAAAUGCAAAGUAGCUUGCUCUGCUAGCUAGCUCGAUUAGCUAACUCGCCCCUAUUGAUUUGGAGGUGUACUUUUGGCAUUGCCAGAUACCUUGUAUGUUUAUGAAUGGAUUUGAACUGAGUAUUUUGUAUUUGGAGAUUAUUUUUCUUUCAGAAACAAGUUGCAAGGUCAGAUGUGUUGUCCUCCUACCCCCAACUUCCGGUCCUAGUUCCAGUAGGCCCUUGUUGGUCUACCUGUGAGAGUACCUGAGCUACAUCUCUGAAGUCUCACCGUAAAAUGCUGGAAUACCUGAGCUACUUCCCUGAAGGUGAACACUCGUACAGAGACGCUACGGAGUACUACGCAGAGGCAUGGAGGUACAGUUACAAGGUCAACCCCAGCAUAGAUGAGUACGGACUACACCCAAGCAGAGUCCCGCCGUAAAAUGCUGGAGUACCUGAGCUACUUCCCUGAAGGUGAACACUCGUACAGAGACGCCACGGAGUACUACGUAGAGGCAUGGAGGUACAGUUACAAGGUCAGAGAGAACACGUGCAUGGCUUUCAAUCCACUUCAGUGUAGAACCAUCCGCGAUGGUAGUAGACGCCCUGGGCUUCACCCGUCAUUAACGACUGCAUAGACUCGUUUCACUGGACGCAGUCGGACUCGACUUUCCAUUGACCCAGUUCUGCUGUAAAAUGCUGGAGUAGCCUACCUGAGAUACAGUUCUGAAGGUGAGCACUCGCCCAGAGACACCACUGAGUACUAGUGUGUGUGUCUGUGUGUUUUAUCCCUCUCUGUUCCGCUGUAAAACACUGUAAUACCUGAGCUAAAUCUCUUAAAUUGAACGCUCGUACAGAGACGCUACUGAGUACUACGCAGAGGCUUGGAGGUAAGCUACAAGAGUACUGAAUUGAUGUUUGUGUCUGUGUGUGUGUGUGUGUGUGUGUGUGUGUCUGUGUCUGUGUGUGUGUGUGUGUGUGUGUGUGUGUG